rnacentral:rRNA from 1 species
UUAGGAAUUUUGCGCAAUGGGCGAAAGCCUGACGCAGCAACGCCGCGUGAGGGAAGAAGGCCUUCGGGUUGUAAACCUCUUUUAGCAGGGACGAACACAAUGACGGUACCUGCAGAAAAAGCACCGGCUAACUACGUGCCAGCAGCCGCGGUAAUACGUAGGGUGCAAGCGUUAUUCGGAUUUAUUGGGCGUAAAGCGCAUGCAGGCGGUUUGAUUAGUCUGGUGUGAAAGCCCUCGACUCAAUCGAGGAAGUGCAUUGGAUACUGUCAGACUAGAGUGCAGGAGGGGUGAGCGGAAUUCCGGGUGUAGAGGUGAAAUUCGUAGAUAUCCGGAGGAACAACAGCGGCGAAGGCGGCUCACUGGACUGUAACUGACGCUCAGAUGCGAUAGUGUGGGGAGCGAACAGG